rnacentral:rRNA from 1 species
GCUACGGGUGGCAGCAGUGAGGAAUAUUGGUCAAUGGGCGAGAGCCUGAACCAGCCAAGUCGCGUGAAGGAUGACGGCCCUACGGGUUGUAAACUUCUUUUGUCAGGGAGCAAUUGGGUCCACGCGUGGGCUUAGCGAGAGUACCUGAAGAAAAAGCAUCGGCUAACUCCGUGCCAGCAGCCGCGGUAAUACGUAGGUGGCAAGCGUUAUCCGGAAUGACUGGGCGUAAAGGGUGCGUAGGUGGUUUAGUAAGUUGGCGGUGUAAUGCCGGGGCUCAACCUCGGCGCUACCGCCAAAACUAUUAGACUAGAGUGCAGGAGGGGUAAGUGGAAUUCCUAGUGUAGCGGUGGAAUGCGUAGAUAUUAGGAGGAACAUCAGGGGCGAAGGCGACUUACUGGACUGUAACUGACACUGAGGCACGAAAGCGUGGGGAGCAAACAGGAUUAGAUACCCGUGUAGUC